rnacentral:misc_RNA from 1 species
AUCAUUUAGAGGAAGGAGAAGUCGUAACAAGGUUUCCGUAGGUGAACCUGCGGAAGGAUCAUUGUCGAAACCUGUACGUGGAAGAGCGACCGUCGAACUCGUGACGUCAUGUGACCGGGUCGGUGGAUGGGUGCAUACCGGCUGCACCCCUCCCCUUCCCAUUCGGGAUGGAACGGAAGGACCGUGCGUCAUCGUCGCACCGCUCCUCUCCACCCUCGUCCCGUACGAACAACCCAACAUCGGCGCGAGAAUCGCCAAGGAAUCAGUACAGGACCGCGCAUCUGCAGAUCGGCUCCGACAUGGAUCGCCUCUGCGAUGCGGUGGAGUUACGUCGUGUGUACCGAAUGACUCUCGGCAACGGAUAUCUCGGCUCUCGCAUCGAUGAAGAACGUAGCGAAAUGCGAUACUUGGUGUGAAUUGCAGAAUCCCGUGAACCAUCGAUUCUUUGAACGCAAGUUGCGCCCGAUGCCUUCUGGCCGAGGGCACGUCUGCCUGGGUGUCACGAAUCGUCGCCCGCCGCUCCUUCGUCUCCUGCUAGGGAUGAGGAGUGGCGGCGGAGGAUGGUCUCCCGUGCGCCGAGGUGCACGGCUGGCUUAAAUUGGCUGGACAGCGGUGUCGAAAGCCGGGUUGCAAGGUGGAUGAGGACAUCUCAACGACCGAACGUGUGCUUUUCCGUCUGCCCGUGACCUCGAUGCGCAGCGUCGCGGCGCCUCCGAUGCGACCCCAGGUCAGGCGGGACCACCCGCUGAGUUUAAGCAUAUCAAUAA